rnacentral:rRNA from 1 species
CAAUAGCGUAUAUUUAAGUUGUUGCAGUUAAAAAGCUCGUAGUUGGAUUUCGGAUGGGACUUGCCGGUCCGUCGUUUCGAUGUGCACUGGCCAGUCCUAUCUUGUUGUCGGGGACUAGCUCCUGGGCUUCACUGUCCGGGACUAGGAGCUGACGAGGUUACUUUGAGUAAAUUAGAGUGUUCAAAGCAAGCCUACGCUCUGAAUACAUUAGCAUGGAAUAACACGAUAGGACUCUGGCUUAUCUUGUUGGUCUGUGAGACCAGGGUAAUGAUUAAGAGGGACAGUCGGGGGCAUUCGUAUUUCAUUGUCAGAGGUGAAAUUCUUGGAUUUAUGAAAGACGAACUUCUGCGAAAGCAUUUGUCAAGGAUGUUUUCAUUAA